CCCCAAAGGCAGUGGCGGCGCCGCGUUGGGUCCUCGAGCGUAUGGGGCUCUGUCACCCGCUCGGGAGGGACUCGGUCGGCGCUGGUCUUCCCCCCCAGGCGGCCCUUCGGGGCUCGUCUCCUCCGGUUGACCUCGGAUCAGGUAGGGCUACCCGCUGAACUUAAGCAUAUCAAUAAGCGGAGGAAAAGAAACCAACAGGGAUUGCCUCAGUAACGGCGAGUGAAGCGGCAAGAGCUCAAAUUUGAAAUCUGGCUCCUUCGGGGCCCGAGUUGUAAUUUGGAGAGGAUGCUUCGGGCGUGGCCCCCAUCUAAGUGCCCUGGAACGGGCCGUCAUAGAGGGUGAGAAUCCCGUCUGGGAUGGGUGGUCCCGCCCGUGUGAAGCUCCUUCGAAGAGUCGAGUUGUUUGGGAAUGCAGCUCUAAGAGGGUGGUAAAUUUCAUCUAAAGCUAAAUAUUGGCCGGAGACCGAUAGCGCACAAGUAGAGUGAUCGAAAGAUGAAAAGCACUUUGAAAAGAGAGUUAAACAGCACGUGAAAUUGUUGAAAGGGAAGCGUUGGCAACCAGACUCGCCCGGGGGGGCUCAGCCGGCACGUGUGCCGGUGCACUCCCCCCCGGGCGGGCCAGCGUCGG
rnacentral:rRNA from 1 species